rnacentral:sRNA from 14 species
ACGUCCCCUACCCGGGGACCAUAUAUUAAAUUGAUUUUUGGAACAAGGAGAUGGAAUAGGGGCUUGCUCCGUCCACUCCACGCAUCGACCUGGUAUUGCAGUACCUCCAGGAACGGUGCACCCCCU